rnacentral:rRNA from 1 species
UGGGGAAUAUUGGACAAUGGGCGCAAGCCUGAUCCAGCCAUGCCGCGUGAGUGAUGAAGGCCUUAGGGUUGUAAAGCUCUUUUACCCGGGAUGAUAAUGACAGUACCGGGAGAAUAAGCCCCGGCUAACUCCGUGCCAGCAGCCGCGGUAAUACGGAGGGGGCUAGCGUUGUUCGGAAUUACUGGGCGUAAAGCGCACGUAGGCGGCUUUGUAAGUUAGAGGUGAAAGCCCAGGGCUUAACCCUGGAAUUGCCUUUAAGACUGCAUCGCUAGAAUUGUGGAGAGGUAAGUGGAAUUCCGAGUGUAGAGGUGAAAUUCGUAGAUAUUCGGAAGAACACCAGUGGCGAAGGCGACUUACUGGACACAUAUUGACGCUGAGGUGCGAAAGCGUGGGGAGCAAACA